GGGGAAUAUUGGACAAUGGGCGCAAGCCUGAUCCAGCCAUGCCGCGUGGAUGAUGAAGGCCCUAGGGUUGUAAAGUCCUUUCGACGGGGAAGAUAAUGACGGUACCCGUAGAAGAAGCCCCGGCUAACUUCGUGCCAGCAGCCGCGGUAAUACGAAGGGGGCUAGCGUUGCUCGGAAUCACUGGGCGUAAAGCGCACGUAGGCGGCUUUUUAAGUCGGUGGUGAAAUCCUGGAGCUCAACUCCAGAACUGCCUCCGAUACUGAAAGGCUCGAGUCCGGGAGAGGUGAGUGGAACUGCGAGUGUAGAGGUGAAAUUCGUAGAUAUUCGCAAGAACACCAGUGGCGAAGGCGGCUCACUGGCCCGGUACUGACGCUGAGGUGCGAAAGCGUGGGGAGCAAAC
rnacentral:rRNA from 1 species